GCCCCAGUGGCGCAAUUGGUUAGCGCACGGUACUUGUAAUGCCGGGGUUGUGAGUUCGAGCCUCACCUGGGGCA
rnacentral:tRNA from 1 species